UUUAAAAUUUUUACCUUUUAGCUGCAUUUCUCAUUUAAUUGUCUGGUAUUGAUGGGGGGGAACUGGAGUUCUGACUGUUAUGCAUGGUACUUAUGCAUGGUACUUACGCAUGGUACUCAUUUAUCCACUUAGGUAGAUUCUGCAUGGACAUAGGAAGGGUCUCUUCCCCAUCAUUCCCACCCAUAUUCUUAGGAAAUGCUCUAAGGGAAGGAAUCAGUUGGGAGAGGGGUAGAGACAGCUUGUUGUUGGAAGGCAUAAUGAUGAGAUCAAAUGACAUUAGGCCACUCCGCAUUCGUGACGUUCCCAGGCCCCCUGAGCACCCACGACACUGCAGAGAAGUUCCCACCGGUCUUGCAUCGUCAGUGGUGUUCCCGCUUGCAGCCUCAUGGGAACGCACGUGGGGGCCGUGUCCAGGGGUGAUGCUGACGCACAGCUGUGCGCUGGUCCAAACAGUUCCGGGGAGGCACUGGGUGCUGGGCAAAGCCGGCACUUGUGAUGUCACAGAGGAAUCUCAGGGCUUGGAAGGCUGACAGAAUGCCUUUGCCAGCCCUGGGCUGCAAAUCAGAAGGGAAUUCGGCCUCCAGAAAGUUCACUUUCACUCCAGCCUGGAGCCAGUCAGAAUCAGUGCAGGGCUCUUAACAGAUUAUAGAUUGAUUCUGCUGAAAUGGAGAAAAAUGCAAAAGGCACAUCUUCUUAUUCCGAGUAGCACCCGCUGAUCCUCUCUAAGCAGAUGGACUGAUAAUUACUCCCAUCAAUAAGGAGGAAACGCUCAGUUCAGCCUUGCCGACCUGCGGAUUCCCUCCUCCUUUGCCAAAGCUGAGAAUGUGUAUGGAACAAAAACUGUAGGGGGAGCUAUUUUGUUUUGAAUGACGAGUGUAAUCUGCCUUUUCAAGUAAGCAAGAUAUUGAGAACAAUUUCACUUUUUGGGGCAUUAUGAAAGUGCUCUAGAAGGAGGCACAGGUCAUUAUAUAGGAAACUGUGUAAUAUGCAUCAGUGUGGAUCUGAAUGAGGUACGAGGCCCAUGCUCUCCCAGUUAUAUCACAUGAUAUUUGGGCAUCUUGGGGUAAAGUUGGGGGCACAGUCUUGAAAGCAAGACAGCCCUGGGUCCAGAUCACAGCUCAGCUGCUUAGCAUCUCAGCAGCCUUGGACAAGUUGCUUCAUAACCCUGUAAAAGGGUAAAAAGGAAAGAGGAACGUCUGCACAACCUCCCCCACUAAGUUCUUACUCGGAUUUAAUUUGACACUGCAUUUAAAAUUCAGCCGGUAGUCUGCACUCAACAAAUGGUUUUUCUAUCCUCCUUAUUUCUCUGGAGUGUCAGAUACCGCACUCUUUCAUCCUCAUCUAUGAAUGUUGCACUUCUAAUUGGUUUCUUGCCUUUUAUAAAGAAGAUGCGAUUGGGCUCACAAAAUAGGGCACAUACUCAAGAUUAGUCCUGCUGUUAAGUGUCCUCUGUUCAUUACUUUGAUGGGAUGGUUUGAGGAUGAAGUCUUUGCUGAAGAGUAUUUGAUGCUGUAGGAGAAUGUGUUUGUGCCUGAGCACAGGUCAGAAGAGAAACUAAUGAUGGAAUGGUAUUUGCUUCUGUGGAGAGGCCUGGGCAGUGACUUGAAAAUGAUUUUUGAACAAAAGCGUAUUUCCUGGUAUACCAAGGAUAUAUGGCUGUGACAGCCCGGGGACUGCUCGGCUCCUUACUCAGACAUAAUACUGCUCAGGGUAAGUCUCCUCCAGAACCCAGAAGACUAUAAGGUUAACAGCAAGCCAAUUUCUCUGCCUCCAACAAAAUAAAUAUUGCUUUGGAAUCCAUCUUAUAAAUCACAAAUGGGGCUUACUACUAGGCCAAGGAAACAAUUAGUAGUUAUCCAGUAAAUGGAAUCAAUAGAGGAAAAAACAACCGACCCACAAAAACACAGCAACAUAUUACAAGGGAAAAUGUUCUGCAUAUUGUCUUCUGUCGUGCUGGGCUAGGACAUCUUAAUGAAGAGCUAUAUUCUCUCAGGAUGGUACCCCAGAGAGCUUAUCAGAAGUGUUACUAAGAAGUCGCGGUCUUAAUUUUUUUUUUUCUCCAGCCUCGCAUAUGCAAGAGAAUUCCAUAUUUGACAGCAUCCUGGUACUUCCUUUAUUUAACAAAGACAUCUUAAUGUUUCCAUGACGGUAACAUGUGAGUUACCUCACGUCCAGUCUUAAAAUAGUUGUUACACUUAAGGAGUAUUAUUAGAAUAAAGCUGGAAGGAAACAUGGAGACAAUUACUCUAAUUCCCUCAUUUUAUAGGAGAGAAUCCAGGGGCCCUAGUGCCUUCUCAAGGCUGCACAAUGACUGGGGUCAGGGCUGGCUUGAGAAUUCAGAUUUGUAUUUCCAUACCGAUGCUCCUUUUAUUUUUUGACAUGUAAUAAUUCUUCUUGGUCUAGAAGAAGAUUAGAGUAUUAACAGUAGUUUAGAUGUGAGAGAAUACCACCAAACAGGCCCACUGUAUAAAUCAUUGCAGAAUAUCAUAGAGGAGGGACCACAAAGACCACAACGGUUACAUUUUACAGUCAAAGAAAAUGUGGCACAGAGAAGUUGAAUGACUUUCUAGGGACAACCUGGCUAAUAAUUGAUGGAGUCAAGAUUUGAACUCAUUGGAUCUGGCAUAUCUGGUACUAGUUAGAAUAUCGGCUGGAGUUGGCCUGGGGUUUUACUGGACUCAUCUCUGUUUUAGAGUAUUCUGAGAGAUGUCCUGACCCUGCUUCCGCGGGCUAUGAGGAAGCUUGCACUUUGGAAACACAUGAGAGAGGUUGGAAGUGUGGAUUAUUUAUAGCCUGAGAGGAGAAAGUUGUUCAACUUCAUUUCCAUCCCUAACCACAUGGGAGAAUAGGUUGGAGUAAUAGGAAGACCCUCAGUGGUUGUGAAGUGUGUGUGUAUACAUUGUGGUGGGGACUGUAUUAUGCCUGAGAGUCCUUUGGUUUUCUCUUUUCCCUUCAGCUUUCUGAGAUGCUCUGCCUUAUAGCCCAAAAGAGGUGGCUUUCAUGGCUCCUCUGACUGAACUCGGGGUAGAUACAGAUGGCCCCUCUGAGAGCGUCCCACCAGGGUUUUUGCAAUUAGGCAUAGUGAUUGAAUUAGUUAACUUUGGAGAGAUGUGUUGGAGUCACCUAGACUUGUGAUCCGAAGCCUCCGUCUCUGGGAUGCCACAGUCUGACACGGGUUUGUAACCAGGAAGCAACUGUGUGGAGAGAGAGAGAGGGGUAGGUGAGGGAAUGAAUGCAUUGCAUAUGCUUUCUCUUCCUCUAUCUACAGGUACUUGAACCCUGAUUUUUCAGCAUCACCGUGAGUAUUGUGACCAUAACGCCAGCACAAGGGAAAUGAAAAUGGGUCUUAAUAAUAUCAUUUGCGUCUGGAAUCUAGUUGUGCCCCAAAGCCAGCGUCUAUCCUGGGCAUUUCUGAAAAAGAGGCUUCUCUCUAUUUCUCUCUUUCUUUUUUGAUUUAAGUCAGUUCGAGUUGAGGUUUUAGUCCCAUGCAAGAGAAGGAGUUGUAACUGACACAGGAGCUUUGCACUGCCAGUAAAUUGCUUUGUUUUGCAGAACGCAAAGCCAAGCUUCAAGAAGAGAGAAAAGAAGUGCUGGAUGGCUCCUUUUUGAUUCUAGUUUCUUAUUUAUUUCUUGUUUUGUUGUUUUUGUAAAGAACAUAUAAGAAACUGUCCAACUGAAUGCCACAUGGUGCCUAGAUCCUGAUCCUUCUGCAGCAAAAACGUUUUUCUGUUCUCUGGAUCGUUCCUGGAUACUGUAGUUCUAGAAAUGAAGACAUGGAGAGGGCUGGCUGGAGUCAAAUUAAAAAAAAAAAAAGCAACCUGAAGGGGGUAGAAAUGAUCAAAGCAAAGAAAAAAGAGUGAAAUGUCCUAAUCUGAAGAUGAUUUCGUUUUCCAAAAGCUCCUAGCAAAUUGAGAAGGCAGCCAAAGGAAAGGCUUGUUUGGGAAGGUAUGCAUCAAAUAAAAGCAACAGCCAUGAAAACAGAAGGUCUGUCUUCUAAAAUGGAUUCCUGGCAGUGAAACUCACUGGCUAUAGCCAGCCCAGACUGAACUCCUUUCUUCAUCCUUGAAUGAAUCACUAUGGUCCCAGGGAUGUGAUGCUGUGCUUGGUCAGACUUGAGUCACCUGUCCACUUCUGGAUCUAUGGAGAUGAUGGACAUCACCCUGCUGAGAUUGUGGAAAGAGCAGUACGGGGAAAAUCAGGAUGCAAAAGAGGAAUGAAUGGAAGUCAGGCAGGAAAUGUGUCUCUUUCUGAGAAGAUGGAUGCUCCCCCCAAAAAUAAAGCAUGUGGAAGGUAAAUCGGUGUUUUUGGAUGGAUGCCUUGUUGGAAGAAGACAAGAGGGUGGUCAUGCCAUUCUUACCUGACUUUCCCUUCUUCUGCUUGAUAGUCCGCCUUCAGAAGCAGGGAAAAGGCUGGAAGGGAUUUCACUUUCAGGGAAGAGGAUGGAAGGACUUUACUGGGGUGUGCUCGCCAGACCCUGCCACUUCCCACACUAACAUUUAUGAGGUAGAAAGAAGAGAACUUGGAGAAUCUGUGAAAUUUGAUGUGGAAGACCGAAGGGUGUGAUCAUUUCCUGAGGCAGGGGACAUCUUGACAGGGUGACUAUGGCAGGCACCCCUGGUCUCCUCGGUCUGCCCUAGGAACUCAUUUGAUGGUGGGCUAUGUCUGUGAGAUAAAGCAUGGCUGGACAGUAAGAGGUCACUGGACUUCCACUGUGACCCCUUUGGGAUUACUUCCCACAUGCCUGGGCCUUAUCACUUCCGUCGAUCAGGACUUUCUCUUACUAUAAAAAGUGCAAUGGGACCAAAAUCCAUAUUAUCCACAUCUCUGCUCAUGUGCACCAUGACCCUCUUAUGCUUGGGAUUAAGUGAUUUCGUUAGAGUUUUGGGCUUUGGUUCGAGAAUUUGAUUGUUCUUUGAUGUCUUCUCUGAUUUGUAGGAAACCAAACUUUAUUUCUCUAUUUUGAUUUGCUUUUUCUUGAAGUGUGAUUUCCCCCUCGAUUGAAACAGAAAUGUUAUCAAGAGUAGAAGCAUCGUGGGCUGUCUCUUGGGUGUUCAUUGUAUGAUGUCUUCGUGAUAGCCCAAUUACAGGGAACAAAGCAUUUUAGGCGACAUCUCACCGGAGACUUGUAAACCAUAUUGUCACUUUGAUUUCUCUUCUAUCGCUUAUUUUUGUAUUUUCUUUGCUUUGGCUACAGUCCUCCGUGUGGUUUUUAAUCCAUCCCAGGUGCUCAACUUUUAAAAUGUAUUUGUGUGGUCAACAUGUUACACCAGAAUGGCCUCUCUUAAUCUGGAGUGAGUUUAGGGCUCAUUUUACAUGUGUUUGUACCAAUUCUUGUUUCGAAAAUUCAAAGGCCUUCCCAUUUUUAUGGAUACUGUUAAGGAAGCUAUUCAUAUCCUGGUAAUCAUAUGAUUAAUACACACUCCAUUUCAUGGCUUCUAACAUAGCCAACUGUAGAUGAAAUAUUUUAGGUAGCUAUGAAUUCUAUUUGAAGUUGUGAUAAGAACUGACAUUUAUGUUUGCCACUGAUAAAGGGAUUUUUUAAAUGUCCAUUUACUGAUUCAGCAUUGGGAAUUCUUUAUAAGCGGAAAAGAAAAUAACAUGACUUUGACAUCUUGGCCUCUGUUGCUGCAGAGUCUCUACCCUAGGCCUUAAUGCAGCAAGGGUGAUGACUUUGCUGUCUAAUAGAAUUUCUUGCAAUACUAGAAAUGUUUUACCCUGUAUUGACCAAUAUGGUAGCCCCAGUAACCACAUGUGACUGUUAAGUGUUUGAAAUGUUGCUAGUGUGCCUUACAAACUAAGAUUUUGGUUUCCUUUUAUUAAUCUAAAUUUAAAUAGUCACAUGCAUCUUGUAGCUAGUUGUAGUAUUCAUGAACAGAAGGUUGAUUAUAGAGACUUCUGUUAAGUUUGUGAAUUAUUUUCCUGUUCUUCCUCACCUUGUAUUUAAAUCUGCCUUGAAAAAUAAAUAAUGAUGGUGAUAAUAA